rnacentral:lncRNA from 1 species
GAUGUGGGUUUGUUGGUGGUGAUGGAAGGAGAGAAGUGGUGGUUGCCAGCGAGAGAGAGGAUAGAUUUGUCUUUUUGUUCUUUCUUGAUGCGUCGUAUCAACGAUGAACCAUAUUCGUCUUCAUCUUCACCAGGUGGUCCAAGCUUUAGCUCAAGAUUCUUCUCUUCCGUGUUGUAAACAGAGGCUUUCUCAUGGUGAAACCAAUUUCUUCUCCCUUGUGGAAUCAAAUGGAGCAGCUUUGGUGAUAUUUCACCGUUUCUUGAAGAACCCUCCAUUAGUUUUUUUACAGAAACUUGCGUUCUUUGACCAAAAGAAAGAAAGAGAGUUCGACAAGCAAAUAGUUGUCUACAACUUGUUCACGCAAAAAGAACAAAAGAUUUGUUUAAAACCCAUCAGAACCCAUAACUUGAAAAUCGUCAAAAUGAAAACUUUUCUUGUCUUUAUUCUGGUCAGAGCAAAGAGAAAACCUCAGCAACUCACAAAACCCUUAAAAACAGAGGAGAGAGAAAGAGAGAGGAGGUGAAAUGAUGUGAGAAGCUAGAGAGGUGGAGUAGUGGGUCUUUUUAUACAAAUCAAAGCUUUGGUUUUGUAAAUAAAAAAAAAUGUAAACUUUUUGGUGGGUUCUUCCCUUCCCUUUACUUCACUUUAUUCUCUCUCUCUCUCUUUCUAGAUUCUCAAAAGGGAGGAGAUUUUUGGGAAUACGGCGAAAAGGGAGAACAGAGGCAAAGUCAGAAGGAGAGACAGUGAUUAAACCAGAGGAAAAGCAAAAGGGAUCAAAACCACAACGUUAAUAAAACAAGAGACCAAGAAAAAAAAAACAGUAAAUAUAUUACUAUUAAAAGGAAUUUAUUGGUGUGAAACACACGCAAUCUUCUUCUCUCUUUCUUAUAGCCGUAGGGUGGUUAACUGCUCAUAGCUAUUAUGCGCACUGAGGUCUACUUUACGACCAAUGGGAACACCGUACAUGUUGAUCUUCACGAACAAGCCUCCUUGCCUCUUUGGUUCCUUUAUCUUCUCUCGGCCGUUAUCAUCAUCACACUUUUGGUUUUUUAGGACGGAGGUGGACUCGUUUCCAAGCUUUGAAGAGCUUCCAUUAGCUAAAUUCUUCCUGAAGGAUCGAACGGGAGGCCAACCCACCACUGGACCAGGAGCAUUUCUUUAACACAAGACAUCAAAGAAAGUAAGAAACAUGUUCCAAAACAGAGCCAGUACUAUGAAGAGUCUGAAAAAAAAUGAAACUAAGGCAGCAAAACGACAAAAACAGAUAAUACAAAAGUAUGAUGAUCUUAAGCAGACAUGAAAUAAACUUGAUAAUCAAACUUGCACAUGUGUGAAGUAAAAACUUUGAGAUCUAAUCUUAAGCAGACAUGAAAAAAUAGUUUUUGAUUGGUUAACUUCAAGUAAAUGUCAUCAUGUCAAAAGGAUACAAAACAGAUAAAAACAAAAAUAAGAGACGUAAAAUCAAAAGGGCGAGGUAAAAAGUAAAAAUGGUUUUAAACCUUUUCUGAGAUGUGGGUUUGUUGGUGGUGAUGGAAGGAGAGAAGUGGUGGUUGCCAGCGAGAGAGAGGAUAGAUUUGUCUUUUUGUUCUUUCUUGAUGCGUCGUAUCAACGAUGAACCAUAUUCGUCUUCAUCUUCACCAGGUGGUCCAAGCUUUAGCUCAAGAUUCUUCUCUUCCGUGUUGUAAACAGAGGCUUUCUCAUGGUGAAACCAAUUUCUUCUCCCUUGUGGAAUCAAAUGGAGCAGCUUUGGUGAUAUUUCACCGUUUCUUGAAGAACCCUCCAUUAGUUUU